rnacentral:lncRNA from 1 species
GGGGUGUAUUCGAUUGGGAUUUUAAUGGAUUGUUUUUAGUCUAUGGAUUUUAAUGGAUUGUAUGUGAUUUUGAUUUUGUGCGGAUUGUUGAUCAAAUGUCGCAGAGUUUAUAGGAUUUAAGCACAAUGCUUCAAAAUCCCAUUGAUUUUGGUGGGAUUUCAAAAAACUUAAAAUACACUGAAGAAUGUCACAAAAUCCACCAUUUUAUGAAAUGAAAAAAAAUCCAUCAGCAUUUGAAUACCAUCAGAUUUUAAUGGAUUUUAAACAAUCCCAAUUGAAUACC